GCUGAUAUGGCUCAAUGGCAGAGCAAUUGAUUUGUAAUCAAUAGGUUGUUGGUUCGACUCCAACUAUCAGCUCCA
rnacentral:tRNA from 1 species